UACAGAGGUCUCAAGCGUUGUUCGGAUUCAUUGGGCGUAAAGAGCUCGUAGGCGGUCUGUCACGUCGGCUGUGAAAACCCGGGGCUCAACCCCGGGCCUGCAGUCGAUACGGGCAGACUAGAGUGCGGUAGGGGAGACUGGAAUUCCUGGUGUAGCGGUGAAAUGCGCAGAUAUCAGGAGGAACACCGGUGGCGAAGGCGGGUCUCUGGGCCGUAACUGACGCUGAGGAGCGAAAGCGUGGGGAGCGAACAGG
rnacentral:rRNA from 1 species